rnacentral:misc_RNA from 1 species
CAGCUAUCGGCCUUGGGUCUGGAUCCUAGUUUGGCAGUUAACCGAGCACGUAGUAUGUCACGAGGUCGUAAGAGGGAGAGAUCUCCUGACAGGGGAGAUGCUACUGGCGACAAUGCUAUGGAUGUGGAUGAUGAAACACCAAGUAAGAAGUUGCGCAUGAGGUCUAGAUCCUUGUCAAGAUCUAGGUCUAAGUCUCGGCCACCAAGUGAGGUUACCCCUGGGGACGGAUUCAAGGACUCGGUCCAAAAGGUCAAGGCAUUAAAGAUUGCAAAGAAAUCUGUGAAAAAGAGGAACAAGAAUGCUCGUCGUGGUGAGGCAGAUAGGGUAAUCCCAACAUUGAAACCAAAACACUUGUUUUCAGGAAAGCGUUCUACUGGAAAAACUGACAGGCGUUGAAAUGUUUGGAGGAAUACAGUUAUUUGCAACCUUCUAGGUGUUUUCUUGUUGUAAAAGGUCCGAUGAAGAUGUAGAUUUUGCUGCAUUGCCUUG